AGCCCAGAGCCUGAAUCAGUGUGUGUGUUAGUGGAAGCGUCUGGAAAGGCGCGCGAUACAGGGUGACAGCCCCGUACACAAAAAUGCACAUACUGUGAGCUCGAUGAGUAGGGCGGGACACGUGGUAUCCUGUCUGAAUAUGGGGGGACCAUCCUCCAAGGCUAAAUACUCCUGACUGACCGAUAGUGAACCAGUACCGUGAGGGAAAGGCGAAAAGAACCCCGGCGAGGGGAGUGAAAAAGAACCUGAAACCGUGUACGUACAAGCAGUGGGAGCCUCUUAAUGGGGUGACUGCGUACCUUUUGUAUAAUGGGUCAGCGACUUAUAUUCUGUAGCAAGGUUAACCGAAUAGGGGAGCCGAAGGGAAACCGAGUCUUAACUGGGCGUUAAGUUGCAGGGUAUAGACCCGAAACCCGGUGAUCUAGCCAUGGGCAGGUUGAAGGUUGGGUAACACUAACUGGAGGACCGAACCGACUAAUGUUGAAAAAUUAGCGGAUGACUUGUGGCUGGGGGUGAAAGGCCAAUCAAACCGGGAGAUAGCUGGUUCUCCCCGAAAGCUAUUUAGGUAGCGCCUCGUGAAUUCAUCUCCGGGGGUAGAGCACUGUUUCGGCAAGGGGGUCAUCCCGACUUACCAACCCGAUGCAAACUGCGAAUACCGGAGAAUGUUAUCACGGGAGACACACGGCGGGUGCUAACGUCCGUCGUGAAGAGGGAAACAACCCAGACCGCCAGCUAAGGUCCCAAAGUCAUGGUUAAGUGGGAAACGAUGUGGGAAGGCCCAGACAGCCAGGAUGUUGGCUUAGAAGCAGCCAUCAUUUAAAGAAAGCGUAAUAGCUCACUGGUCGAGUCGGCCUGCGCGGAAGAUGUAACGGGGCUAAACCAUGCACCGAAGCUGCGGCAGCGACACUAUGUGUUGUUGGGUAGGGGAGCGUUCUGUAAGCCUGUGAAGGUGUACUGUGAGGUAUGCUGGAGGUAUCAGAAGUGCGAAUGCUGACAUAAGUAACGAUAAAGCGGGUGAAAAGCCCGCUCGCCGGAAGACCAAGGGUUCCUGUCCAACGUUAAUCGGGGCAGGGUGAGUCGACCCCUAAGGCGAGGCCGAAAGGCGUAGUCGAUGGGAAACAGGUUAAUAUUCCUGUACUUGGUGUUACUGCGAAGGGGGGACGGAGAAGGCUAUGUUGGCCGGGCGACGGUUGUCCCGGUUUAAGCGUGUAGGCUGGUUUUCCAGGCAAAUCCGGAAAAUCAAGGCUGAGGCGUGAUGACGAGGCACUACGGUGCUGAAGCAACAAAUGCCCUGCUUCCAGGAAAAGCCUCUAAGCAU
rnacentral:rRNA from 1 species